UUAUUUGAGGAAACUGUGGGCAGUUUUCUAGCACACGUUAAGAAAUAUUUGCCUUAAUGCAAUCGUAUGAUGUAAAGGUAUAAAGUUAAUCAUUCAAGGUGGCUUUCGCAGUCGGUAGACCAACACUAAAAUAUAGCCAGGCUGGAAUGCGUUUAAAACAUAAAUUUGCAAGUGAUCUUGUAUCCGACACAUAUAUUUCAAAGCAGCAAUUAAUUCAUGCUGCUUCCGUUUCUGCGAAAAAGGUUAAAAGGAUGAUUUGUUUAACGAGUUAAAUGUCAUCAGGGAAGAACAGACAGCGAUCACGACAGGAGGCCAACCAUUUUCGGUGAUUAUACCCCUUACCCCUGAAGAAGCAUUGGCGUCUUUGUUUCAAAAUUGACUUACCAAACAGCAUAUCAAUAAAGCUCGUGGCUGCAACAUUUUCCCCCCAUAUUCAGCACUUCAAGUAGUCAACACGAUUUGCAGACCAACUCAAAUAGAAUUCUGUGAAAAUUUUCUCAGGUUUCGAUGCAAAAAAAUAAAGUCGAAAAAAUAUUGGUCCUGCAAAAAGAGUUUAUAUCUGAAAUGAGAAAUAGUAAGCUACGGAUUCGAUGGACCUACUGUUCAAAGCUUAUAUAAGCAGAAGUUUCGAUCAGAGGAACCUGCUUCCUGUAGGAAAGGCAGUAACGAGAGUACCAUCAACACAGAGAGAAUCGAAUAGAAACGAGGAUCGAGUAAUCGGUGGUAGUAGAGUUUGAGCUAUGAGAGAGAGAGAGUGUGUUCUCGGUGCGCGGCACUUAAAAAUUGUCAGAGCUGGAGUUCCACUAGGCAGCAUUCUUGGGCCAUUUCUGUGCACUAUAUUCACAUGCGACAUGCCGUUACCACACGUCAACCCAGGUAACUUGCUGGUCGCCACUUACGUUGAUGAUACUGCCAUUCUCCCAACAUCCACCUGCUACGGAGCCGUUGCUGAACAACUCCAAAUUUACCUCGAAUCCGUGGAAAAAUGGUCAACAAAAUGGAACAUCACACUUCUCCACUUCGUUAAAAGCCUGAUAUGGGGAUAUCAGAACUACAGUCAUCAAAUGCCAAAAAAAAACUUAAAAAGUUGCACUGGCUCAUCAACUCAAAAAGUAAGCUUCUCCUACGCAGUAAAGUCUUGUUGUACAAGGCAAUGAUAAUCCCUAUAUUGACAUACGCCUGGAGACGUUCAGCGAAGACGCAUCUCAAUAAAAUCAGAGUCAUGCAAGCGAGGGCUCUAAGGGCGAUGACAGGUGCCCCGUGGUUUCCACAAUGCUGGAAAGAGAUCUCCUCAUCCAAAAAGUUGGCGAUCAAAUUAACCAUCAUAGCAG